CUCUCCCUCCAGUCAGACCUACAGGUAGACCUACAGGUAGCUCUCUCUCCCUCCAGUCAGACCUACAGGUAGACCUACAGGUAGCUCUCUCUCUCCCUCCAGUCAGACCUACAGUCAGACCUACAGGUAGCUCUCUCUCUCCCUCCAGUCAGACCUACAGGUAGACCUACAGGUAGCUCUCUCUCUCCCUCCAGUCAGACCUACAGGUAGCUCUCUCUCUCCCUCCAGUCAGACCUACAGGUAGACCUACAGGUAGCUCUCUCUCUCCCUCCAGUCAGACCUACAGUCAGACCUACAGGUAGCUCUCUCUCCCUCCAGUCAGACCUACAGGUAGCUCUCUCUCCCUCCAGUCAGACCUACAGGUAGCUCUCUCUCUCCUUACACUCAGACCUACAGUCAGACCUACAGGUAGCUCUCUCUCUCU